AUUGAACGCUGGCGGCAUGCUUUACACAUGCAAGUCGAACGGUAACAGGGUGCUUGCACCGCUGACGAGUGGCGAACGGGUGAGUAAUGCGUCGGAACGUGCCGAGCAGUGGGGAUAACGCAGCGAAAGUUGUGCUAAUACCGCAUACGUACUGAGGUAGAAAGUGGGGGACCUUCGGGCCUCACGCUAUUCGAGCGGCCGACGUCUGAUUAGCUAGUAGGUGAGGUAAAGGCUCACCUAGGCGACGAUCAGUAGCGGGUCUGAGAGGAUGAUCCGCCACACUGGGCCUGAGACACGGCCCAGACUCCUACGGGAGGCAGCAGUGGGGAAUUUUGGACAAUGGGCGAAAGCCUGAUCCAGCCAUGCCGCGUGUCUGAAGAAGGCCUUCGGGUUGUAAAGGACUUUUGUCAGGGAGGAAAUCCCUAGUGCUAAUAACACUGGGGGAUGACAGUACCUGAAGAAUAAGCACCGGCUAACUACGGGCCAGCCGCCGCCGUAA
rnacentral:rRNA from 1 species